UGAAGUUAAAGNCAUUGGCUCAACCAGUGUAUGCUUUGGAAACUGUUAGACUUGAGUGCAGAAGGGGAGAGUGGAAUUCCAUGUGUAGCGGUGAAAUGCGUAGAUAUAUGAAGGAACACCGGUGGCGAAAGCGGCUCUCUGGUCUGUCACUGACGCUGAGGCUCGAAAGCGUGGGUAGCGAACAGGAUUAGAUACCCUGGUAGUCCACGCCGUAAACGCCGAGUGCUAGGUGUUAGGUCCUUUCCGGGACUUAGUGCCGACGCUAACGCAUUAAGCACUCCGCCUGGGGAGUACGACCGCAAGGUUGAAACUCAAAGGAAUUGACGGGGGCCCGCACAAGCGGUGGAGCAUGUGGUUUAAUUCGAAGCAACGCGAAGAACCUUACCAGGUCUUGACAUCCCGAUGCCCGCUCUAGAGAUAGAGUUUUACUUUUUGUACAUCGGAGACAGGUGGUGCAUGGUUGUCGUCAGCUCGUGUCGUGAGAUGUUGGGUUAAGUCCCGCAACGAGCGCAACCCUUAUUGUUAGUUGCCAUCAUUAAGUUGGGCACUCUAGCGAGACUGCCGGUAAUAAACCGGAGGAAGGUGGGGAUGACGUCAAAUCAUCAUGCCCCUUAUGACCUGGGCUACACACGUGCUAC
rnacentral:rRNA from 1 species